ACGAUGUCCCUGUGGCUGC
rnacentral:piRNA from 1 species